GGGAAACUAACCUCAAAACAAGGCUUCGCCGAGAGCCGUGGUAGACCACCACGUUGAUAGGCCAGGUGUGGAAGUGCCGCGAGGCAUGGAGCUUACUGGUACUAAUCGCUCGAUCGGCUUGAUCGU
rnacentral:rRNA from 1 species